GAUGGUUCAUUCAAAUUUCUGCCCUAUCAACUUUCGAUGGUAGAGUAGUGGUCUACCAUGGUUUCAACGGGUAACGGGGAAUUAGGGUUCUAUUCCGGAGAGGGAGCCUGAGAAACGGCUACCACAUCCAAGGAAGGCAGCAGGCGCGCAAAAAUUACCCAAUCCCGACACGGGGAGGUAGUGACAAUAAAUACUGAUACAGGGCUCUUUUGGGUCUUGUAAUUGGAAUGAGUACAAUUUAAAUCCCUUUAACGAGGAACAAUUGGAGGGCAAGUCUGGUGCCAGCAGCCGCGGUAAUUCCAGCUCCAAUAGCGUAUAUUAAAGUUGUUGCAGUUAAAAAGCUCGUAGUUGAACCUUGGGCCUGGCUGGCCGGUCCGCCUCACCGCGUGCACUGGUCCGGCCGGGUCUUUCCUUCUGGGGAGCCUCAUGCCCUUCACUGGGUGUGUUGGGGAACCAGGACUUUUACUUUGAAAAAAUUAGAGUGUUCAAAGCAGGCCUAUGCUCGAAUACAUUAGCAUGGAAUAAUAGAA
rnacentral:rRNA from 1 species